CACAUGGCUAAUUUGAAUAUUUAUGUAAACAGUAGCUGUUACCUGUAGUAGUGAUCACGCUAAUUUGUUGUUAUGUGUUACCGUGUUAAUUUCAUGUUAAUUUCAUGUCCACAGAAAUGCUUUGUCCGUGCUUUGUGAACAUGGCCACGCUAGUGCGCACAGCUCUCUAACACUACGUUGUACUAUGUAAGUUACGCUUGUCAGGGCUUGUGAACUGUGUGUUGCCUUCGGACGUAAUAACAUUGCAUUUGGCAGAUGCCACCAUUAUAUAAGAGUGCAACCAGCAUUAUGCUUGUGUGAAGACCCGAUCCACAGUCGGGUCUUUGUUUAUCUGAUUUGUUUAUAGUUAUGCUUGUAGCCAGGGAUCUUAAUAUCCCACCCGAUGAAUGAUCCGAAUAAACCCUAAACCUCU